ensembl:lncRNA
GUAAGCCAUUAUUAAAGUGAAAACUCACUCACAGGUAAGCCAUUAUUAAAGUGAAAACUCACUCACAGGUAAGCCAUUAUUAAAGUGAAAACUCCAAUACAGGUACGCCAUUAUUAAAGUGCAAACUCCUUCACAGGUAAGUUAUUAUUAAAGUGAAAACUCACUCACAGGUAAGCCAUUAUUAAAGUGUAAACUCACUCACAGGUAAGCCAUUAUUAAAGUGAAAACUCCCUCACAGGUAAGUUAUUAUUAAAGUGCACGUCUCGAUGCGGCUCCGACUCGACUCUUCAGAGGAGCCUUCAGAGCCCGGCUCUCAGUGGCGCCCACAUCCACCCUCUAGUUUCACACAC